GACGAACGCUGGCGGCGUGCUUAACACAUGCAAGUCGAGCGGUAAGGCCCUUUCGGGGGUACGACGAGCGGCGAACGGGUGAGUAACACGUGGGUGACCUGCCCUCAGCUCUGGGAUAAGCCUGGGAAACCGGGGUCUAAUACUGGAUAUGACUCCAUGACGCAUGUUGUGGGGUGGAAAGCCUUGUGCGGCUGAGGAUGGGCCCGCGGCCUAUCAGCUUGUUGGUGGGGUGAGGCCUACCAAGGCGACGACGGGUAGCCGGCCUGAGAGGGCGACCGGCCACACUGGGACUGAGACACGGCCCAGACUCCUACGGGAGGCAGCAGUGGGGAAGUCUUGCGCAAUGGGCGAAAGCCUGACGCAGCGACGCCGCGUGAGGGAUGACGGCCU
rnacentral:rRNA from 1 species